GACUUUUUGAUGUCCAUUUUAGGUUUUACCCGACAUAGAACUUCCACAAAAAAAUAAACAAAAUAAUUGAAUUUUUGAUUAGGCAUCAAAGAAGGCGUACCGAAAGGUUAUGACCCAUCCCAUCAAUAGACUCAUCCACAAAUUGUUUAUAGAAUUAAGAAAACAGUUUUACCAGCGUGUCUAUCUCUCUCUUCGUCUCCCAAGGUGGCUUAGAACUUAGGGAUUAUUUAUAUAUUCACCACUUCUGGUCCUGUCCAGCUCUCUGCAGAAUAAGGCUUCAAUACUUGGGAUUGACCUUUCUAAAUGACAUUUUGGAGAUGUCUACACUAUGUUCCAGGAAGAUCGCUAACUUUGUGAGAGCAUCCGGAUGGGAUAAUUGCUGACGUGAAGUCCCACAAAGCAGGAACGGAAAGAUCCCAAACGGUAUCACAAUGGGCCGUAACCGGCUGAAGAGCGACAAGCAACAGCCCCUACCCAACCUAAUCUAACUUAUAUAUUCAUUGUAAACAUCUUUUACUUGUUUAUUUAACCCUAUAAUCACAAUCUGUUGUCCUUUCUACUUUUUUUGACCAUUCACUCACUACAUUGCCAAUGAUUCCGCCUAAAGUAAAGUCGCUCCCACUAUAAAGUGUUGGUGCUCCCUGCUCACUAAUAAUUUCAUUUCAAUGGAAGUCCAAUUUAUUCCUUAUUUAUACGAUUCGGGGAGAGAUCGUGAACCCAAGUACUUUCCGACAAAAAAUCUAUAAAUUUAGAGUUUCCCAGAAAUCGCAUUUAGCUUGAAUUCACAUUAAAUGUCAAUCUGCUGUUAUCAUUUCUUCAAUUUCUUCGGGAUUAAAAGCUGCCGUUUGUAUUCCAAACGCAUUCAAUUUCAUAAUAGCAAUCGAAAUGAAAAUUGUAAUUAUCGUCUUGGUCGUGCUGGCAGCUUCGAUUACAGUGGAAGCCAGAGGAUGCUGUUAUAUAAUUUGUCAGCAAAAAUCGCGAGAACAACACUAUGAUCCGCCAGCCCCGAAUCCUCCACCAGUCCGGCAGCCUGCAUCGAGUCCCCCUGGUUCGAGUGGGACAUAUCCUAUCAUAGAUCUCUCUGCUCGUGGAUUUUGGCACAAAAGAUAAUGUUAUAUGUGUGUGUAUGUGAAUCUCAGUACAGCACUCGUAGAUUCUUGUUCUUCUUUUAAAACGGAUUAUCUUUUUACCAAAAUUGUUUGUUAAAGUCAAGUUGAAGUAAAGUUGCUGGUAUCGUAAAAACAAAGUAAAAUCUUUAUGAUAUAUAGUCGUCUAAAA